ensembl:snRNA U6 U6 spliceosomal RNA
GUGCUUGCUUCGGCAGCACAUAUACUAAAAUUGGAAUGAUAUAGAGAAGAUUAGCAUGGCCCCUGCCAAGGAUGAUAUGCAAAUUUGUGAAGAAUUCUGUAGUUAA